rnacentral:misc_RNA from 1 species
GAGAAGAACGCAGCAAAAUGCGAUAAGUAAUGUGAAUUGCAGAAUUCAGUGAAUCAUCGAAUCUUUGAACGCACAUUGCGCCCGCCAGUAUUCUGGCGGGCAUGCCUGUUCGAGCGUCAUUUCAACCCUCAAGCACAGCUUGGUGUUGGGACUCGCGUUAAUUCGCGUUCCCCAAAUUGAUUGGCGGUCACGUCGAGCUUCCAUAGCGUAGUAGUAAAACCCUCGUUACUGGUAAUCGUCGCGGCCACGCCGUUAAACCCCAACUUCUGAAUGUUGACCUCGGAUCAGGUAGGAAUACCCGCUGAACUUAAGCAUAUCAAUAAGCGGAGGA